AUUGAACGCUGGCGGCAGGCUUAACACAUGCAAGUCGAGCGAGCGGCGGACGGGUGAGUAAUGUCUGGGAAACUGCCUGAUGGAGGGGGAUAACUACGGGAAACGGUAGCUAAUACCGCGUACCAUAAGAUGUGCCCAGGUGGGAUUAGGUAGUAGGUGGGGUAAAGGCUCACCUAGGCGACGAUCCCUAGCUGGUCUGAGAGGAUGACCAGCAACACUGGAACUGAGACACGGCCCAGACUCCUACGGGAGGCAGCAGUGGGGAAUAUUGCACAAUGGGCGCAAGCCUGAUGCAGCCAUGCCGCGUGAAUGAAGAAGGCCUUCGGGUUGUAAAGCACUUUCGGUGAGGAGGCGUUACUCGCAGAAGAAGCACCGGCUAACUCCGUGCCAGCAGCCGCGGUAAUAC
rnacentral:rRNA from 1 species